rnacentral:ncRNA from 1 species
GUUAAAGUGAUGAAAGGAAAUAGUAGCAGGAAUGUUUCUCUUCAGAGAAUCGGUGGGUGGUGCGAACCGAUGGGAAACGCUUGUGAAUCCAUCCUUGAGCGAAAUGCCGAACGCUUGAACGCAAGUAAGCAUUUCCGGUGUCAAGCCGUUACCAAUUUGAGUGGAAGACAUUUUGUCUUCAAUUAGGGUGGCAACGCGGGUUACUCUCGUCCCUUGG